CAAAAGGCGGUAGCAGAAAACCUGAGUGCCGGCUGUCCCUUAAAGGACAGAUAUUUUAAACCUCCUGUUGGGUCUGCAUGGAGUUUGUUGGAAAAGGUUAUUUCUGGAUUGUUUGUUUCAUUUCUUAAUGAGAUCCCAUUUCUUAUCUGCAGGUCUCAGUGGCAGAGAGGAAACGGCGUGUACUUGAAGUCGGACACACCUCACCUUUCCUUCCACUUUCCACUUGAGGUUUCCUCCUGGAGCAUCCUGACUCCUCUGGCUGCAGGUCAGGCGCUGCAGAGACUGUCUCCGCCUUCAGGCCCGGUACCAGGCUCCACCGCCCCGCCGGGCCUGUCGGGAGGAGAACCAGGACAGGAUGCCGCCCCCCUCCUAUAGCCCCCCAUCCUCUGGGAGCAGCCGUGAGGC
rnacentral:lncRNA from 1 species